AACGGACGCUGGCGGCAUGCCUAACACAUGCAAGUCGAACGAGACCUUCGGGUCUAUGGGCGCACGGGUGCGUAACGCGUGGGAACCUGCCCUUAGGUUCGGAAUAACUCCCCGAAAGGGGUGCUAAUACCGGAUAAUGUCUUCGGACCAAAGAUUUAUCGCCUUUGGGUGGGCCCGCGUUGGAUUAGCUGGUUGGUAGGGUAAAAGCCGACCAAGGCGACGAUCCAUAGCUGGUCUGAGAGGAUGAUCCGCCACACUGGGACUGAGACACGGCCCAGACUCCUACGGGAGGCAGCAGUGGGGAAUAUUGGACAAUGGGCGAAAGCCUGAUCCAGCAAUGCCGCGUGAGUGAUGAAGGCCUUAGGGUUGUAAAGCUCUUUUACCCGGGAUGAUAAUGACAGUACCGGGAGAAUAAGCUCCGGCUAACUCCGUG
rnacentral:rRNA from 1 species